GGAUGAACGCUGGCGGCGUGCCUAAUACAUGCAAGUAGAACGCUGAAGCUUGGUGCUUGCACCGAGCGGAUGAGUUGCGAACGGGUGAGUAACGCGUAGGUAACCUGCCUCUUAGCGGGGGAUAACUAUUGGAAACGAUAGCUAAUACCGCAUAAAAGUCGAUAUCGCAUGAUAUUGAUUUGAAAGGUGCAAAUGCAUCACUAAGAGAUGGACCUGCGUUGUAUUAGCUAGUUGGUGAGGUAACGGCUCACCAAGGCGACGAUACAUAGCCGACCUGAGAGGGUGAUCGGCCACACUGGGACUGAGACACGGCCCAGACUCCUACGGGAGGCAGCAGUAGGGAAUCUUCGGCAAUGGGGGCAACCCUGACCGAGCAACGCCGCGGGAGUGAAGAAGGUUUUCGGAUCGUAAAGCUCUGUUGUAAGAGAAGAACGAGUGUGAGAGUGGAAAGUUCACACUGUGACGGUAACUUACCAGAAAGGGACGGCUAACUACGUG
rnacentral:rRNA from 1 species